rnacentral:misc_RNA from 1 species
AACUUUGGACAAUGGAUCUCUUGGCUCUCGCAUCGAUGAAGAACGCAGCGAAAUGGGAUAAGUAAUGUGAAUUGCAGAAUUCAGUGAAUCAUCGAAUCUUUGAACGCACCUUGCGCUCCUUGGUAUUCCGAGGAGCAUGCCUGUGUGAGUGUCAUUAGAUUCUCAAACCUCAAUCAGUUUUCGAACUGGGCUGAGGCUUUGGACUAUGGAGGCUUUUGCUGGACUCUCAGAGAUCAGCUCCUCUCAAAUGCAUUAGCGGUUACUGAUCCCAUUCAUUGGUGUGAUAAUUAUCUAUGCCAUGGGUGGUUUCUCGUGUAUCAGCUUCUAACCGUCCUUUCAGGACAAUCUAUUGACUAUUUGACCUCAAAUCAGGUAGGACUACCCGCUGAACUUAAGCAUAUCAAUAAGCGGAGGCU